rnacentral:rRNA from 1 species
UACGAAGGGGGCUAGCGUUGCUCGGAAUUACUGGGCGUAAAGGGUGCGUAGGCGGGCCUUUAAGUCAGGGGUGAAAUCCUGGAGCUCAACUCCAGAACUGCCUUUGAUACUGAGGAUCUUGAGUUCGGGAGAGGUGAGUGGAACUGCGAGUGUAGAGGUGAAAUUCGUAGAUAUUCGCAAGAACACCAGUGGCGAAGGCGGCUCACUGGCCCGGUACUGACGCUGAGGUGCGAAAGCGUGGGGAGCAAACAGG